rnacentral:lncRNA from 1 species
CACACGCGAAAACAAAGUACUCAAUAAAUAUCAUGUAUAUCGAGUGCUUGAUUCCGUCAUGUUUGAUUAAUGAAAUAUCAGGCCCCCGGAAUCAAAGUCCCACUUGAAUGCUACAUUAAAGUGUUCAAUGCAUGUAACGUGUCUAGCUCCUUUGAUGUCGUUGGAUCGAGUACCCGAGUAAUGUUAGUAAAAUACACAGUUGAGUUAGAGUCCGUAACUCGGGAACUGUCUACCUCCUUGUAAAGUUAUACGGAAUGCUCCCCCUUGGCCUCUUCUCACUUGGGUCGACGACCGAUGAUGCCCCCCAUCUUUUUUUGGCAAAUGUCUCUAAAGUUCUUCGUGUUAGACAACAUGAGGACCGCAACCGAGGAUAUAAAGUGCAACGCGGUAGUUAUAUGGGAUGUAGUGUCAAUUGAUGUAAACAUUACUCUUAGUUUCUAGCCACGAAACCGGAUUGACACGGGAGAGGAAAAACCCGAUCUCACCGCGCGUGAUAUUAAACUUCUCAUAUUUGUAACAUCACGACACUUGGGUGUACUUCCUGGAAGUUUUUUGAUCGGAGGAUUCUAAGUACCUGGCGAGAUGAAUGAAAAUGCUACUGUUUUGGGGCCGGAUCAAACUACCAUAAUGACUUGAAAGGCAAAGAUCAUUCAUAGAUUUAUUCAGUGGUGUGGCCAUGAAAAGACAUGCAUGUGAACAAUAUGAGUGUGUCCAAAAAAAUCCGAGGCCCUCAUCGUAAACACGCACAAAAACUUCUCAAUUCUUUUGAAAUUAUUUAACUUGUUUUCUCAAUGUUGAUAUUAUGAAAUUUUCCGCGUAUGAUGCUGCACUACUACUCGGUCAGUCAUGUGGUUCAUAUCUGAGGUCUAUGGCCUGUAGCACAAAUCCAUAUCACCGAAUGACCGACAACAAAAAUCGCAAGUUUCUUCCCUGAACUAGUCCGAUGGAAAGGAAGAGACAGACCUAGUUUUUUUUUUGUGUGCAAAAGGUUGUAGAAUAAGUUUCCCAAAGACUUUACAAGAGUUAUUUCACCACAAUUAACAAUAGACGAUGCCCUGAAUAAACAAGUUCAAAAGUUCUUCAUAAUUUUCACCAAAAGUUUAUGUAAAAAAUCAAACGCUUGGUCUUGCUUGUUUGUAAAAUAAUCUAUAUAUUGGCCGGAAAAGUGCUGUACUUCUCAUGCGUACAGAACAGACAAAGCGUUUACUGUGUAUAUAGUCAAAACAUAUGCACAGGCCGUGCAAUCAAAUCUGAUCCGCAAAUAAAUAUUUAAAUGAAAUAGUUUUUUCAAUAGAAAAGUUAAGCUAAAAUAGUGCAUAGUUAAAGGGCUCGCGAAGUCAAUCAGUCUUCUGGUGCCGGUGUUCCCUCUUCUCCAUGGGCGAUACGCGGAGAGGCACGACCCGAUUUGGCCAUGGCUGGUGCUGGACAUGCACGGGAGAUGAAUACCUAUCACACAAAACAAACAAAAAUAAAAGAUGCUCACCCGAUCAGAAAUCCAUCGACCGAAUUCACAAGUAAAAUUCCAAGAUUGAACCAAGAGACACUUGCACCAAGUGCUUGGAUGUAUCUAACUCGCACAUAAACAAAAAGAAGAAGGCGGGUGGUUGGAUCUCACCCUGCUCUCUUGCUUGGGAGAGGAUGGUGUUGCCCCAGAGCGAUGGAUUCGGCAGAUUUAGCAUCUUCUCCUCUGGCCGUGGCAGCUCGUUCUGCUCCCAAACGCGGUUUCUCCUCUUCUCCCAAGCGAGAAGGAGGGAAAUCUAGAUCUGGUCGAACCCGAGCUUCUGAACAAGCGAGUCCUUGGCCCAGCCUGGCGUGUAGGUUGGCCUAAGUCCUUGCUGCCAAUACACGGAGGAGCUCGUCGACGGCCAUUUUGUGGAGGAGUACAGGGACGCCGGCGGCUGAGAGCAAUCCAAGAGGGGAGGAAGACAGAGGACAAACGACAGAGAGGGAAUGGAAGCAGGGUGAUGGGGUGGGGUCUAGGUGGGGGGAAAGCAGAUACGACGGGACUGUAUUGGCACCGUAUACUCAGCUGUGAAUUGAGAAUUUGGAGUUUCGGGCGUGGGGCUAGGUGGGCCAGUGGCUCGGAUCCACACGAGGGCUGCACGGCUGUGAUACGAGCUGUGUAUGGAACGCGAAUGGAAAAGCCUUUUCCGCAUUUCAUACACAUGCUCAGCUGGGUGCUCCAAGGAUUGCCGGUUUUUUCCCCGCAAAAAAAAAAGGAUUGCCAUUUUUUUCUGAACUGGAACAUUCAUUCCAUAACUUAACCACGCACAGCAGAUUCAUGGGUGCUCCAGGAUUGCCAUUUACCACUGGAUCAUGAGCUUCUUUAUACCAAUAUUCCAACUCUAGCCGGCAAAACCGAACCAAGAUAGAGUUCAUUUCGCCAGCCAUGGACAGGGACAUGAUACGUUGUAUAAUUGUAAGUAGGUCCAGAUAACAUAGCUGCCAAUUUUAUUCCUUGAAUACAUUUUGCCCCAGAGGUCGAGACAAGUAGUACAAACAAACAAACAAAAUACUGACUUGCAGCAGGAUAAAGCAACAAAUUUAUGCUGAAACUGAGCCGACGCUGGGAUAUUCAGCAUAUGGCCAAACCUGGGUAGCGACAAACUGAUUGGCCGGUUUAAAACUUUCGAUCACGACGCAGCUGACGGAGUUGACGCGGAAUUAAUUAAGCGGCGGAGGGCGGCACGUACGGGGUGGGCACGAGCACGAGCGGCGUCUUGCGGUGGAAGGUGAGCCCGCCGGCCUCCUCCAUGCACAGG